CCUACGGGAGGCAGCAGUGGGGAAUUUUGGACAAUGGGCGAAAGCCUGAUCCAGCAAUGCCGCGUGAGUGGAGAAGGCCUUCGGGUUGUAAAGCUCUUUUGUCAGGGAAGAAACGGUGAGAGCUAAUAUCUCUUGCUAAUGACGGUACCUGAAGAAUAAGCACCGGCUAACUACGUGCCAGCAGCCGCGGUAAUACGUAGGGUGCAAGCGUUAAUCGGAAUUACUGGGCGUAAAGCGUGCGCAGGCGGUUUUGUAAGUCUGAUGUGAAAUCCCCGGGCUCAACCUGGGAAUUGCAUUGGAGACUGCAAGGCUAGAAUCUGGCAGAGGGGGGUAGAAUUCCACGUGUAGCAGUGAAAUGCGUAGAUAUGUGGAGGAACACCGAUGGCGAAGGCAGCCCCCUGGGUCAAGAUUGACGCUCAUGCACGAAAGCGUGGGGAGCAAACAGGAUUAGAUACCCGUGGUACGUCCACGCCCUAAACGAUGUACUACUAGUUGUCGGGUCUUAAUUGACUUGGUAACGCAGCUAACGCGUGAAGUAGACCGCCUGGGGAGUACGGUCGCGAAGAUUAAAACGUCGAAAGGAAUUGACGGCUGAGACGAGCGAGGACGACGACGAGGGAGGAGG
rnacentral:rRNA from 1 species